UACGUAGGGCGCAAGCGUUGUCCGGAAUCAUUGGGCGUAAAGAGCGCGUAGGCGGUCCGGUAAGUCGGUUGUGAAAACUGGGGGCUCAACCCUCAGAGGCCGACCGAUACUGCCGGGCUAGAGUCCGGAAGAGGCGAGUGGAAUUCCUGGUGUAGCGGUGAAAUGCGCAGAUAUCAGGAGGAACACCAAUGGCGAAGGCAGCUCGCUGGGACGGUACUGACGCUGAGGCGCGAAAGCGUGGGGAGCAAACAGG
rnacentral:rRNA from 1 species